rnacentral:rRNA from 1 species
AGGACGAACGCUGGCGGCGUGCUUAACACAUGCAAGUCGAGCGGUAAGGCCCUUUCGGGGGUACACGAGCGGCGAACGGGUGAGUAACACGUGAGUAAUCUGCCCUCCACUUGGGGAUAAGCUUCGGAAACGGGGUCUAAUACCUGAUACGACAACUACCUGCAUGGGUUGGUUGUGGAAAGUUUUUUCGGUGGGGGAUGUGCUCGCGGCCUAUCAGCUUGUUGGUGGGUAAUGGCCUACCAAGGCUUCGACGGGUA